UAUCAGCACCCCGAGUGGUCGGGACGAUUAUUGGGCCUAAAGCAUCCGUAGCCGGUCCUACAAGUCUUCCGUUAAAUCCACCUGCUUAACAGAUGGGCUGCGGAAGAUACUAUAGGGCUAGGAGGCGGGAGAGGCAAGCGGUACUCAGUGGGUAGGGGUAAAAUCCUCUGAUCCAUUGAAGACCACCAGUGGCGAAGGCGGCUUGCCAGAACGCGCUCGACGGUGAGGGAUGAAAGCUGGGGGAGCAAACCGG
rnacentral:rRNA from 1 species